AACGAACGCUGGCGGCAUGCCUAACACAUGCAAGUCGAACGAGACCUUCGGGUCUAGUGGCGCACGGGUGCGUAACGCGUGGGAACCUGCCCUUAGGUUCGGAAUAACUCCCCGAAAGGGGUGCUAAUACCGGAUAAUUUCUUCGGACCAAAGAUUUAUCGCCUUUGGAUGGGCCCGCGUUGGAUUAGCUAGUUGGUAGGGUAAAAGCCUACCAAGGCGACGAUCCAUAGCUGGUCUGAGAGGAUGAUCAGCCACACUGGGACUGAGACACGGCCCAGACUCCUACGGGAGGCAGCAGUGGGGAAUAUUGGACAAUGGGCGAAAGCCUGAUCCAGCAAUGCCGCGUGAGUGAUGAAGGCCUUAGGGUUGUAAAGAUCUUUUACCCGGGAUGAUAAUGACAGUACCGGGAGAAUAAGCUCCGGCUAACUCCGUG
rnacentral:rRNA from 1 species